rnacentral:rRNA from 1 species
GAUGAACGCUGGCGGCGUGCCUAAUACAUGCAAGUCGAGCGAACUGAUUAGAAGCUUGCUCCUAUGACGUUAGCGGCGGACGGGUGAGUAACACGUGGGCAACCUGCCUGUAAGACUGGGAUAACUUCGGGAAACCGAAGCUAAUACCGGAUAGGAUCUUCUCCUUCAUGGGAGAUGAUUGAAAGAUGGUUUCGGCUAUCACUUACAGAUGGGCCCGCGGUGCAUUAGCUAGUUGGUGAGGUAACGGCUCACCAAGGCAACGAUGCAUAGCCGACCUGGGAGGGUGAUCGGCCACACGGGGACUGGGACACGGCCCAGACUCCUACGGGAGGCAGCAGUAGGGAAUCUUCCGCAAUGGACGAAAGUCUGACGGAGCAACGCCGCGUGAGUGAUGAAGGCUUUCGGGUCGUAAAACUCUGUUGUUAGGGAAGAACAAGUACAAGAGUAACUGCUUGUACCUUGACGGUACCUAACCAGAAAGCCACGGCUAACUACGUGCCAGCCGCCGCAGUAA